GGGCGAAUGGUUUAGUGGUAUAAUACUCCCUUAGCAUAAUUCGACCGAAUAAACUGGGAGUGGUCCAGGGUUCGAUUCCCUGUUCGUCCA
rnacentral:tRNA from 2 species